ensembl:lincRNA
GGCCACUGUGAUCGGUCAGGGCUGGGCAUAUGACCUAAACCGGGCCAAUCAGGAUUCACUUCCUACCUCCCGCUGCUGAAACUGUCAGCGACACUGCUUUCUUGGAACUGUGCCAGCGCCCUUUGCCGCCACGUGGAGAGAGGGAAGCCCUCACCGAAAGUAGCAGAGAGCAGGAAAGAGUAACCGAUUCUGACGGCGUCCUCCAGCAUGCACCUUUGCUGGCGUCCAGGAGUGUGUCUAACUCUGGGACCUGUGUCUCUGCUCUUAACCACUGGGAUGAUCUCGGCAGUUAACAUUUAACCACAUCCACGUUAGAAUGGACUGGAAAUCCCCUGUCAGCUUCUGUCUUGAAGGUGGAAGAGAAAAGGGAGUGAGUGAACUAUGCAAAAGGAAAUUCCUUCCACUUAAGAAAAAUGGACACAGAGUAAGUAAUUGGAAGGAACUUUGUGUGAACUGUAAAGAGAGUUGGUGUCCAAUUCAUAUGUUCUUUGGACUGAUAUACAUGGGGCACUCAGCAGAUGCCAUCCUAGGCACCAAGGAUGCAGUGGUGAACCAGUGGGACAAAGUCUUUACCUUCAUGGAACUCACAUUCUGUUUGGAGAAACAGACAAUACAUAAACCAAUAAAUGUAUAAAAAAAAUUAGUGGUGUCAGGAAACAUUGUAAGAGACUUUGAAAUAGGCAAAAACAAACAAACAAAAAAUCUCCCCCAAAUUGGAUGUCCUUUGGAAUUCUGGCCGUUGUUAAGAGGACCCUUUUAGGUUGUCUGAUUCUACAGGGUUCUGUGCCUUUCUUUGUCUUUGAGCUAUUUUGCAACUCAGUAAUUUGUAUAAAACUGAUAAUAAUGCAAACGAUUCUUGCGCAUAGAGAUGCAAAUGAACUUUGUCCAGUGGAAAUCCAGUUGAUGUCUGCCCAUGGAAGACAUGGUUCCAAACAGUGCGUUAUACGUCCUGUGGACACUGACCUGUUUUGCAUGUAUUAGCAAUUUUAUUUCAGCCUUCCUGACUACCCAAAUGUAAGUUUGACUUUGGAUUCUCCUUAAAUCAGAAUUAAUGUCUUAUUGGUCCCCUUAUUAAUUCAUAAGUUAAAUAAAAUCUUUGACAGGUAUUUGCUUUAUAAUCGAAUGAAAGUCAUGGUUUUACCUUUUUGGAUGUUAUCUUUUAAAAGCAGUGGGUGCUAUGAGGAAAAAUAGCACCGAUGUAGGGGCAGACAGUCAUGGACUAGGGGCGGAAGCUAGUUCAGAUGAGGUGGUAGAGACGGGGGGCUUCCCUGAGGAGGUGACAUUUAAGCAUUGAUGUUGGGCCUCAAUUUUCUCACCUACAAAAUGGUUUUCAGCCUCUCUCCAGGACUUAUUUUUAAUGAGUUUAUUAAUUCUUUUUUCUUUUAUUAAAACUUUUGAGAGACAGGGUCUUGCUUUUUUGCCCGGGCUGGAAUGCGGUGGCUACUCACAGGUGUGAUCACAGCACUCUACAGCUGCAAGCUCCUGGGCUCAGAGGAGGUCCGCCCACCUGAGUAAUCUGAUUAGCUGGGACUACAGAUGCACCCCACCACGCCUGGAUAUCGCCCCAGCAAUUGAAAAGAUUGGAAAGUAAUUGAAGGAAUAGCUCUGUGCUGAUCUUGUGAGUCUCAAAGCCAUUUUUGUGACUAACAACAAUUCAGAAGCCCCUGACAAAGGACCGAGUUUGUUCUCUUUAUUUUAAUUUUUAAUUAAUUUAUUUAUGAGACAGAGUCUCACUCUGUUGCCUGGGCUAGAGUGCCCUGGCGUC